UACGUAGGGGGCAAGCGUUGUCCGGAUUUAUUGGGCGUAAAGCGCGUGUAGGCGGUCCGGUAAGUCCGUUGUGAAAGUCAAGGGCUCAACCCUUGAAUGCCGGCGGAUACUGUCGGGCUAGAGUCCGGAAGAGGUGAGUGGAAUUCCCGGUGUAGCGGUGGAAUGCGCAGAUAUCAGGAGGAACACCAACGGCGAAGGCAGCUCGCUAGGACGGUACUGACGCUGAGGCGCGAAAGCGUGGGGAGCGAACAGGAUUAGAUACCCCUGUAGU
rnacentral:rRNA from 1 species